GCAUCUGAAUCUUUCCCAAUCCUUGCUAUGUAGUGCUGGGCUGGAGACACAGGAUGCAACAGGAAAGCAGAGGAAAUCCAGACAAGCUUCCUUUUCAUCACAGUGGGACUUGUCUCUACGCCUUUGCAACAUUU
rnacentral:snoRNA from 1 species